GACGAACCGUGCGAACGUUGUUCGGAAUCACUGGGCUUAAAGGGCGCGUAGGCGGGCUCGCAAGUCAGGGGUGAAAGCCCACGGCUCAACCGUGGAAGUGCCUUUGAUACUGCGGGCCUUGAGGGAGGUAGGGGCGUGCGGAACUUCCGGUGGAGCGGUGAAAUGCGUAGAUAUCGGAAGGAACACCGGUGGGGAAAGCGGCGCGCUGGACCUCUUCUGACGCUGAGGCGCGAAAGCCAGGGGAGCAAACGGG
rnacentral:rRNA from 1 species